CUCUGCACCUCUCUGUCUCCGCUCGAUCUCUCUCUACCUCCCUCUACCUGCCUCUCCACUCUCGAACUCAUCACCGACACUCUCCCUCUCUUUGCCAUCUCUGUCUCUCUCAGUCUGUCUCUCCGUUUACAGAUCUAAGACAGCAGAGCGAUGAGAGAUUGCAGCUGAGAUUUCAUCAUCGGACGGCGUUCUUGCUAUCCAAACCUCAUUUCCAUCUAAGGUUCGAGAUUUUUUUGCUGGUUAGCGUUCAAGAGUAAGACGGCUUGUUCGGCUAUCACGGGAGAAAAUAUUCCUGGGAUUGAGGACUCUGAUAAAACUUUUCUGGAAAGCAUUUUCAAUUUAAUGAGGAAGGAAGAGACAUUCUCUGGGCAGGUGAAGUUGAUGGAAUGGGUUCUGCAAAUACAUAAUUCUGUCGUGUUACACUGGUUUUUGACCAAAGGUGGUAUGAUGAUUUUAGCAACAUGGUUGAGCAAAGCCGCUCUUGAAGAACAAACAACUAUUAUUCUUAUCAUUUUUAAGGGAGAUUUGGCAAAUUACCUUCAAAAGAAAGGACGUCUACAGCCUUCUAAAGCUCUUAGACUUGCUCUUGAUAUUGCUAGCCAGCUUGUUUUCUCCAUAUUGCAAAGUGGGACCGCAUGGGACAACUUCCCGACAAAUCAACAAUCAUUGUUUGGCGGUCUGAAACACAAUGAAUGGUGAUUUGAAGUGUGAGCUAAUUUUAACUGCUAAUGUGUGCUACUUCUUCAUGAAUAUAAAAUUGCAGUUAGGUCCUCUUUAAGCUGGAUUGGGCUUGGGCUGACCCUCUGGUUGGAAUUGGUCAGGUCAAGUAUGGUUACCUGAUUUGGCAAUUCUGCUUCUAUCCUUGUGCUUCUCUGUUGGAAUGUAACUCUUUAGAGAUGGAAACCUCUCAUUACAAAUAUCAUGUGGAUGAACUUACCUUGUUCAGGCAAGUAUCUAUUUUCUCUUAUGCAAUGUGUUUCUAAAAUUUAUCAUCAUCACCAGAAAAAGGUAAUAGUGUCUUUUUGCCAUUGUCUAAUCUUUUAUUUUCCCUUGAACAGCUUUUACCCUUCUUUCAGAGCUUGGUAGUUUCAAGUUAAAAUCCAUUCAUUACACUAGUAAUCAUAAUUAAAUUUGAUCCAAACAUGCCCUUAAAUUGUCUUUUAAGAUGUCAUGUUGCAAUAACAAUGUACUCAAAACAAUGGAUUUCUUGACGAGUGGUCCAGAUGAUGGUUCUAAUGCAUAUGUGAUCAUAACAAAAACAAGUACGACAACUCAUCAGGUGGGCCACUCAUUUAUGAAAAAAAAAAAACUGAUUUAGAAUUACAUAGAAAUUGGUCACAUACCCAGCUUGUCUGCAAUUUCUUUUGGUCAAUCACUAUCUUUGGAGUGUUCAGAUUUGAGAAGUGUACAGAAACCUUCACAUGCAUAUAGAUGCAUUUGACAUCUAAGUCAGGAUUUGGCUAAUUGGUAUUCACUUUAUGCUUUCUUUGCAAAGGUACAUCUAUACAUCAGAUUUCUUUCGAGUAGCUUGAGGAAAGGAGAUUUAUAUCAUGCAGAGGCAACUGCAAAUUUAUAGCGCUUAUCAUCCAAGUCCUGUCUUCCAACAAUGUAAACAGAGGCUGAAGUACAGAAGCCUCAGAAGAACCAACUCCUACUACCAACAUCACCCAGCCAACUAGUACAGAAGAUAGACUCUGUUGCAAGUUCUAUUAUUAGUAUUAUUUCCACCUUUUAAGUUCUGAACAUGAAGAGCAUCUUUGUUGUUAUUUGCUGCAAAUUUUUUCAUUAACCAUCCACUUGAGUGUUUGUACACUUCUUUUUUUUUCAACAAAGUUACAGGUGGUGUGCUCCCACCUUUCUGUAAAAAAUAAAAAAUAAAAAUAAAAAUGAAAAUGAAAGAUUUGAGUUAUGGAAAGAGUGGAAGAACUAAAGCCUGUUUUCUUGUAGUGCAAGCAACAAGUCGUAUUGAUUUUCAUAACACUUACUGAUCUUAAAAGGCACGUGCUAGCAUUUAUUUCACAUAGGGCAUCUCUCAUUGCUGAUUUCUAUUGGCAUUUCUAUAGAAUCUAUACUUGAUAUGGGAUUAUAUGUAUCAAGUUCUUGGAAGGAUGUCAAAUAAUGCUAAGUCCAUGGAAAUUUUACAAAGUAAUUUUUAGAGGUUUAUGAUAUCUGUAUCUUUUGCCUAGCUGAAUGCUAACCACCCUUGUCUGUUUCAGUCUCAUUGAUUUCUUUUCCAUUUACUUUUCUUUUCUCAUUAACCCUUGUGCAGAUAAGUUGAAUGUGUAACUAUCUUCGCCUUGUUAUGUUUCAAGGUGAUUUUCACUGCCAACUUUGUUCGUUGACUUGGUUUG